UACAGAGGGUGCAAGCGUUGCUCGGAAUCAUUGGGCGUAAAGGGUAGGUAGGUGGUCUCAUUUGUCUGGGGUGAAAGCCUCGAGCUUAACUCGAGAAGUGCCCCGGAAACGGUGAGACUGGAGUAUUGGAGAGGGUCAUGGAAUUCCCGGUGUAGCGGUGAAAUGCGUAGAGAUCGGGAGGAACACCAGAGGCGAAGGCGGCGACCUGGACAAUUACUGACACUCAACUACGAAAGCGUGGGGAGCAAACAGG
rnacentral:rRNA from 1 species